rnacentral:rRNA from 1 species
GACAGAGGGGGCAAGCGUUGCUCGGAAUUACUGGGCGUAAAGGGCGCGUAGGCGGGAUGGCGAGUCGGUCGUGAAAUCCCUCGGCUCAACUGAGGAUCGUCGAUCGAUACUGCCGUUCUUGAGGAUUGCAGAGGAGACUGGAAUUCCCGGUGUAGCGGUGAAAUGUGUAGAGAUCGGGAGGAACACCGGUGGCGAAGGCGGGUCUCUGGGCAAUUCCUGACGCUGAGGCGCGAAAGCGUGGGGAGCAAACAGG